rnacentral:rRNA from 1 species
CUGUAAGCCUGUGAAGGUGUGCUGUGAGGCAUGCUGGAGGUAUCAGAAGUGCGAAUGCUGACAUAAGUAACGAUAAAGCGGGUGAAAAGCCCGCUCGCCGGAAGACCAAGGGUUCCUGUCCAACGUUAAUCGGGGCAGGGUGAGUCGACCCCUAAGGCGAGGCCGAAAGGCGUAGUCGAUGGGAAACAGGUUAAUAUUCCUGUACUUGGUGUUACUGCGAAGGGGGGACGGAGAAGGCUAUGUUGGCCGGGCGACGGUUGUCCCGGUUUAAGCGUGUAGGCUGGUUUUCCAGGCAAAUCCGGAAAAUCAAGGCUGAGGCGUGAUGACGAGGCACUACGGUGCUGAAGCAACAAAUGCCCUGCUUCCAGGAAAAGCCUCUAAGCAUCAGGUAACAUCAAAUCGUACCCCAAACCGACACAGGUGGUCAGGUAGAGAAUACCAAGGCGCUUGAGAGAACUCGGGUGAAGGAACUAGGCAAAAUGGUGCCGUAACUUCGGGAGAAGGCACGCUGAUAUGUAGGUGAAGCGACUUGCUCGUGGAGCUGAAAUCAGUCGAAGAUACCAGCUGGCUGCAACUGUUUAUUAAAAACACAGCACUGUGCAAACACGAAAGUGGACGUAUACGGUGUGACGCCUGCCCGGUGCCGGAAGGUUAAUUGAUGGGGUCAGCGCAAGCGAAGCUCUUGAUCGAAGCCCCGGUAAACGGCGGCCGUAACUAUAACGGUCCUAAGGUAGCGAAAUUCCUUGUCGGGUAAGUUCCGACCUGCACGAAUGGCGUAAUGAUGGCCAGGCUGUCUCCACCCGAGACUCAGUGAAAUUGAACUCGCUGUGAAGAUGCAGUGUACCCGCGGCAAGACGGAAAGACCCCGUGAACCUUUACUAUAGCUUGACACUGAACAUUGAGCCUUGAUGUGUAGGAUAGGUGGGAGGCUUGGAAGUGUGGACGCCAGUCUGCAUGGAGCCGACCUUGAAAUACCACCCUUUAAUGUUUGAUGUUCUAACGUUGACCCGUAAUCCGGGUUGCGGACAGUGUCUGGUGGGUAGUUUGACUGGGGCGGUCUCCUCCUAAAGAGUAACGGAGGAGCACGAAGGUUGGCUAAUCCUGGUCGGACAUCAGGAGGUUAGUGCAAUGGCAUAAGCCAGCUUGACUGCGAGCGUGACGGCGCGAGCAGGUGCGAAAGCAGGUCAUAGUGAUCCGGUGGUUCUGAAUGGAAGGGCCAUCGCUCAACGGAUAAAAGGUACUCCGGGGAUAACAGGCUGAUACCGCCCAAGAGUUCAUAUCGACGGCGGUGUUUGGCACCUCGAUGUCGGCUCAUCACAUCCUGGGGCUGAAGUAGGUCCCAAGGGUAUGGCUGUUCGCCAUUUAAAGUGGUACGCGAGCUGGGUUUAGAACGUCGUGAGACAGUUCGGUCCCUAUCUGCCGUGGGCGCUGGAGAACUGAGGGGGGCUGCUCCUAGUACGAGAGGACCGGAGUGGACGCAUCACUGGUGUUCGGGUUGUCAUGCCAAUGGCACUGCCCGGUAGCUAAAUGCGGAAGAGAUAAGUGCUGAAAGCAUCUAAGCACGAAACUUGCC